rnacentral:rRNA from 1 species
AGAGUUUGAUCCUGGCUCAGGACGAACGCUGGCGGGCAGCUACACAUGCAAGUCGACGAUGAUGCCCAGCUUGCUGGGUGGAUUAGUGGCGAACGGGUGAGUAACACGUGAGUAACCUGCCCCUGACUCUGGGAUAAGCGUUGGAAACGACGUCUAAUACUGGAUAUGACCGCCGAUCGCAUGGUCUGGUGGUGGAAAGAUUUUUUGGUUGGGGAUGGACUCGCGGCCUAUCAGCUUGUUGGUGAGGUAAUGGCUCACCAAGGCGACGACGGGUAGCCGGCCUGAGAGGGUGACCGGCCACACUGGGACUGAGACACGGCCCAGACUCCUACGGGAGGCAGCAGUGGGGAAUAUUGCACAAUGGGCGAAAGCCUGAUGCAGCAACGCCGCGUGAGGGAUGACGGCCUUCGGGUUGUAAACCUCUUUUAGUAGGGAAGAAGCGUAAGUGACGGUACCUGCAGAAAAAGCACCGGCUAACUACGUGCCAGCAGCCGCGGUAAUACGUAGGGUGCAAGCGUUGUCCGGAAUUAUUGGGCGUAAAGAGCUCGUAGGCGGUUUGUCGCGUCUGCUGUGAAAUCCCGAGGCUCAACCUCGGGCUUGCAGUGGGUACGGGCAGACUAGAGUGCGGUAGGGGAGAUUGGAAUUCCUGGUGUAGCGGUGGAAUGCGCAGAUAUCAGGAGGAACACCGAUGGCGAAGGCAGAUCUCUGGGCCGUAACUGACGCUGAGGAGCGAAAGCGUGGGGAGCGAACAGGAUUAGAUACCCUGGUAGUCCACGCCGUAAACGUUGGGCGCUAGAUGUAGGGACCUUUCCACGGUUUCUGUGUCGUAGCUAACGCAUAAGCGCCCCGCUGGGAGACCCGAAGGCUAAAACUCAAAUGAGAUUGACGGGG